AUUGAACGCUGGCGGCAGGCCUAACACAUGCAAGUCGAGCGGUAGAGAGAAGCUUGCUUCUCUUGAGAGCGGCGGACGGGUGAGUAAUGCCUAGGAAUCUGCCUGGUAGUGGGGGAUAACGUUCGGAAACGGACGCUAAUACCGCAUACGUCCUACGGGAGAAAGCAGGGGACCUUCGGGCCUUGCGCUAUCAGAUGAGCCUAGGUCGGAUUAGCUAGUUGGUGAGGUAAUGGCUCACCAAGGCGACGAUCCGUAACUGGUCUGAGAGGAUGAUCAGUCACACUGGAACUGAGACACGGUCCAGACUCCUACGGGAGGCAGCAGUGGGGAAUAUUGGACAAUGGGCGAAAGCCUGAUCCAGCCAUGCCGCGUGUGUGAAGAAGGUCUUCGGAUUGUAAAGCACUUUAAGUUGGGAGGAAGGGUUGUAGAUUAAUACUCUGCAAUUUUGACGUUACCGACAGAAUAAGCACCGGCUAACUCUGUGCCAGCAGCCGCGGUAAUACAGAGGGUGCAAGCGUUAAUCGGAAUUACUGGGCGUAAAGCGCGCGUAGGUGGUUUGUUAAGUUGGAUGUGAAAUCCCCGGGCUCAACCUGGGAACUGCAUUCAAAACUGACUGACUAGAGUAUGGUAGAGGGUGGUGGAAUUUCCUGUGUAGCGGUGAAAUGCGUAGAUAUAGGAAGGAACACCAGUGGCGAAGGCGACCACCUGGACUGAUACUGACACUGAGGUGCGAAAGCGUGGGGAGCAAACAGG
rnacentral:rRNA from 1 species